CCUUCGCGCUGACCUCAAUGCCGUGCUGGCUAUCCAAAGGUCUCUCCAACCUUAAAAUUGAUUUCCACUGCAUCCCACAAGCUGUCUUCCAGGUGUCAAAGCGCAACCCUCCUCCACCCCUUCGCCUCCUGCUUCCAACUCAGGACCAAGCUUAACCUUCUCCCUUCCAACCGGACCUAACCACUUAUCACCACCACCAGUGUCUAGACCCAGGGGGGUUCAUCGGAAACGGUUCUUCCCUUCCCGAUUGAUAUCCUACAAAACCUGGGCCUAAUCGCCAAAACACCAUUUAAUUCACUUGUUAUGAACUGUCAUCAUUAUGUUUCAUGUA